GUGCCGAGCAGCCGCGGUAAUACCGGCAGCACGAGUGAUGGCCGCUAUUAUUGGGCCUAAAGCGUCCGUAGCCGGCCGGGCAAGUCCGUCGGGAAAUCCGCCCGUUCAACGGGCGGCCGUCCGGCGGAACCUGUGUGGCUUGGGACCGGGAGGCCUGAGGGGUACGAUCGGGGUAGGAGUGAAAUCCUGUAAUCCCGCUCGGACCGCCGAUGGGGAAACCACCUCAGGAGAACGGAUCCGACAGUGAGGGACGAAAGCCAGGGUCUCGAACCGGAUUAGAAACCCGGGUAGUCC
rnacentral:rRNA from 1 species